rnacentral:lncRNA from 1 species
GUAGCCAUCCUCGGGGGGCAGGAGGACGACCUGGCGCAACAGGUGGCGAGUGUUGGCGAAGAAGCACACGUGCACGUCGACGCCUGGGUCCAGGUUGAUGGCGCGCGUGCGGGACUGCCACAGGUUGGCGACGGCGACGUCGAAGGUAGAGCAGCGCUGGCCGGUGAGCUCCAAGUGUCGGGACUUGACGUGAUCGAUGUGGUCAGGGGAUAGGUCGACGGUGGCGUGGAGCAGCUUGAAGGAGGGGAACACGGGCGGGCCACCGGGAGGCAGCUUAGGUGGGUUGGGUAUGACCUCCCGGGACCAUGCAGGCUCCACGGUGGGCUUCGGCAGGCCACGGGCGAUCUCGGCGACGGCGUUGAUGAACUGGGCGACGCCGAGGCCGUCGGCGAUGGUAUGGACGGAGAUGAGGCCGACCACGAAUCCGCCGCCCACGAACUCUGUCACCUGAGGAAGCAGAGGAGUGCAGUGCAGUAUUGUUGUAGUAUGAGGUCGAUCAGACGAACGUAACCAUGCAUUCUCACUCACUCAUCAGCUACCUGCAGCAUGAGAGGGAGGUCGAGGGGGUUCAGUCCCGGGCAGGGCUUGGGCAGGAGCGCGUCGUCAGGGAUCAUGAGCGGGAGGUCGAGGUACUUCACGUCCUCCAAGCUGCAAUCCGCCUUGGCCUCGACGAACCAAGCGCCCUCGCCAGUGCAAGCGACACGAACCUCGCCGCCGCCCUCGGGAUCGUCCACGAACCGCCCCGCGAAGGGGUAGUACUUCACCAGCGCCUUCGACAGUGCUUCCCUGAUGACCCUG